CGAUGAAUGUUCCUUGCCUUCUCUGUAGUUGAUGAGUUGUGCAAUUUUAUGUCAUCGUAAAUCAAUUUUUGUGGUCUUCUUCACCCGUGUUUAUGACGUUCAAUGUGUGAACUUUAACAUGCUCAUGGUAUUUGCAAGACCAAACAAAA